rnacentral:lncRNA from 1 species
CCUCACUCAAUAGCUUUGAUACUCUUUCUUCCAGUUGAUCGAGUCAGUUACUGAAGCUUGUGCAUUUGUCACGUAUUUCUUGUGUCAUGGUUUUCAUCUCUGUCAGUUUGUUUAUGACCUUCUCUGCAUUAAUUAUUCUAGUUAUCAAUUCUUCCACUUUUUUUCGAGAAUUUUAGUUUCUUUGCGCUGAGUACGUAAUUCCUCCUUUAGCUCUGAGAAGUUUGAUGGACUGAAGCCUUCUUCUCUCAUCUCGUCAAAGUCAUUCACCAUCCAGCUUUGAUCCAUUGCUGGCGAUGAGCUGUGUUCCUUUACAGGGGGCAAUGCACUAUUAUUUUUUGAAUUUCCAGCUUUUCUGCCCUGCUUUUUCCCCAUCUUUGUGGUUUUAUCUGCCUCUGGUCUUUGAUGAUGGUGACGUACUGAUGGGGUUUUGCUGUGGGUGUCCUUCCUGUUUGAUAGUUUUCCUUCUAACAGUCAGGACCCUCGGCUGUUGGUCUGUUGGAGAUUGCUUGAGGUCCACUCCAGACCCUGUUUGCCUGGGUAUCAGCAGCAGAGGCUGCAGAAGAUAGAAUAUUGCUGAACAGCGAGUGUACCUGUCUGAUUCUUGCUUUGGAAGCUUCCUGUCAGGGGUGUACUCCACCGUGUGAGGUGUAGGGUGUCGGUCUGCCCCUAUUGGGGGAUGUCUCCCAGUUAGGCUACUCAGGGAUCAGGGAGUCACUUGAGCAGGCAGUCUGUCUGUUCUCAGAUCUCAACCUCCGUGUUGGGAGAUCUUCUGAUCUCUUCAAAGCUGUCAGACAGAGUCAUUUGCGCCUGCAGAGAUUUCUGCUGCUUUUGUUGUUGUUGUUGUUGUUGUUGUUUAACUGUGCCCUGUCCCCAGAGGUGGAGUCUACAGAGACAGGCAUGGGACCCUCCCGGCCAGGUGUGGGAUAUAAUCUCCUGGUGUGCCUGUUUGCUUAAAGCGCAGUAUUGGGGUGGGAGUUACCCAACUUUCCAGGUGUUGUGUGUCUCAGUUCCCCCGGCUAGGAAAAGGGAUUCCCUUUCCCCUUGCACUUCCCAGGUGAGGCGAUGCCUCGCCCUGCUUCAGCUCUCGCUGGUCGGGCUGCAGCAGCUGACCAGCACUGAUUGUCAGGCACUCCCUAGUGAGAUGAACCCAGUACCUCAGUUGAAAAUGCAGAAAUCACCGGUCUUCUGUGUCGCUCACGCUGGGAGUUGGAGACGAGCUGUUCCUAUUCGGCCAUCUUGCUCCGUCCCUCAGUUGUUUUUGUUUUGUUUUGUUUUUUUUUUUAAUUAA